UAGGUACUCCCUCCGUCCGGAAAUACUUGUCAUCAAAAUGGAUAAAAGGGGAUGUAUCUAGAUGUAUUUUAGUUCUAAAUACAUCUCUUUUUAUUCAUUUUGAUGACAAAUAUUUCCGGACGGAGGGAGUACUAA
rnacentral:pre_miRNA from 1 species